AAUUGACGGGGACCCGCACAAGCGGUGGAUGAUGUGGUUUAAUUCGAUGCAACGCGAAAAACCUUACCCACCUUUGACAUGUACGGAAUCCUUUAGAGAUAGAGGAGUGCUCGAAAGAGAGCCGUAACACAGGUGCUGCAUGGCUGUCGUCAGCUCGUGUCGUGAGAUGUUGGGUUAAGUCCCGCAACGAGCGCAACCCUUGCCAUUAGUUGCUACGAAAGGGCACUCUAAUGGGACUGCCGGUGACAAACCGGAGGAAGGUGGGGAUGACGUCAAGUCCUCAUGGCCCUUAUAGGUGGGGCUACACACGUCAUACAAUGGCUGGUACAGAGGGUUGCCAACCCGCGAGGGGGAGCUAAUCCCAUAAAGCCAGUCGUAGUCCGGAUCGCAGUCUGCAACUCGACUGCGUGAAGUCGGAAUCGCUAGUAAUCGCGGAUCAGAAUGUCGCGGUGAAUACGUUCCCGGGUCUUGUACACACCGCCCGUCACACCAUGGGAGCGGGUUCUGCCAGAAGUAGGUAGACUAACCGUAAG
rnacentral:rRNA from 1 species